AACCUGUGGAAAACUGACGGUCAGGA
rnacentral:piRNA from 1 species